GACCGAGGGGGCAAGCGUUGCUCGGAAUUACUGGGCGUAAAGGGCGCGUAGGCGGGAUGGCAAGUCGGUCGUGAAAUCCUUCGGCUCAACCGAAGAACGUCGAUCGAUACUGCUGUUCUUGAGGGUUGCAGAGGAGACUGGAAUUCCCGGUGUAGCGGUGAAAUGCGUAGAUAUCUGGAGGAACACCGGUGGCGAAGGCGGCAUCCUGGACCGGCAUUGACGCUGAGGAGCGAAAGCCAGGGGAGCAAACGGG
rnacentral:rRNA from 1 species